rnacentral:lncRNA from 1 species
GUAACAUCCAAACUACAUUUGCCAGGGACAAAAAGAAAUGCAGCGUAACCUAAUUUGCCAUAGUUUGGAAACAAAAUCCUGACCAGAGAAACCACAUGAAUACAUAAGAAGAAAAUGAAGCAGUGCAACUGUGUGCUCACAACUGGACUUUUCUAUGGAAAGAGGAACACUGAACAACUACAGGGAGGGGUCUCACUCAGCAGGAGCCAGAGGAGGAACAUGCAGUAGCCACAUCAGAAACUAAGAGAGUGAUUGGUCAGCUUGCUACAAAUCUUAAGACAGGGCAUCUUCAUCUUCAAAAUGAAAUGGGAUAAGACAGCAACCCAGACAGAAUUUAUGCAGAAUCUGAAGCAGAGCAAGUGACAAUUAACACAUUUUACAUAGAUUCCAUAGCACGUAGGAGCUACCUGCAGAUUUCCAACAUGUAAUUCUUGAUCUUGAUUCUCUAUCAGAUCUGCUGCCUAAGAGACUGCCUGUGGCUACCAAAUGCAGUG